rnacentral:rRNA from 1 species
CACGUAGGGGGCAAGCGUUGUCCGGAUCAUUGGGCGUAAAGAGCUCGUAGGCGGUUCGAUAAGUCGGGUGUGAAACCUCCAGGCUCAACCUGGAGACGCCACCCGAUACUGUCGUGACUAGAGUCCAGUAGGGGAGCGUGGAAUUCCUGGUGUAGCGGUGAAAUGCGCAGAUAUCAGGAGGAACACCAGCGGCGAAGGCGGCGCUCUGGGCUGGAACUGACGCUGAGG